rnacentral:rRNA from 1 species
UACGUAGGCAGCGAGCGUUGUCCGGAAUCAUUGGGCGUAAAGAGCGUGUAGGCGGCCACUUAAGUCCUGCGUGAAAUCUUGCGGCUCAACCGCAAGCGGUCGUGGGAAACUGGGUGGCUAGAGUGCGGGAGAGGAGAGUGGAAUUCCUGGUGUAGCGGUGGAAUGCGCAGAUAUCAGGAAGAACACCCGUGGCGAAGGCGGCUCUCUGGAACGCAACUGACGCUGAGACGCGAAAGCGUGGGGAGCAAACAGG